CUGUUCCCUUUCUGGACGGAAUGUUGGGCAAGUUCAUAGUCGGUUCUUCCCGUCGCACCCUUUCCCGUUAGCGAGGCCCUAGAUGCCGCUUCGGCUCCCAUUCCCUCUCUGGACGCCGCUCUGGCUCCUGUUCCCUCUCUGGACGAAACCCUAGAUGCCGCUCCGGCUCCCGUUCCCUCUCUGGACGAAAUGUUAGGCCGAGUUUAUCCGGUCGCGCCUCCGGCUACGAAAAUGUGAUCCCUCCGCGGGCUUCGGGCGAUCCCUCCGUGGGCUUCUAUUUCACCUCCGGGCAGCGGAUCGAGUAGAAGCUUCUCGAUUUCAUUCAGGAGGCCAAGCGUUUUGGAGUGAUGGCGUCGCAUCCUAUUGUUGAGAUAAACUUUCAGCGAUUGUUGCGUAAUAUUUGUGCAAAGUUUUCCCUCCCUCCUCCAAGGUACGGAAUCACCGUAGGCUCGGGCGAUCAAUUUUGCGCUUUUGUUGAUGUUCAAGUUCUAAGGUGUAGCCGCUUCAUGGAGGUUAUUACGUGCUGGGGUUCUCCGUCUUCCGAUUCGAUUUUGUCUGAAAAUGAAGCCGCUCAGGCUGCUAUCGAGACGCUGAGCACUGAACUUCAUUUUGACAUAAGGGAUGCUAAUUAUACUAAAAAAAUUUAUUUUAAAAAUUUAUAUGAUAGUGCUUUCCAAAAAUAUGAAGAUCUUCUAAAUGAAUAUGAAAUGCUGAAGAAAGAACAUGCUGUACUCAAGAGGUUUCACAAAUUGUAACGAUUAACUAUAUUUU